rnacentral:rRNA from 1 species
UACGGAGGGGGCUAGCGUUGUUCGGAAUUACUGGGCGUAAAGCGCACGUAGGCGGCUUUGUAAGUUAGAGGUGAAAGCCCGGGGCUCAACUCCGGAAUUGCCUUUAAGACUGCAUCGCUAGAAUUGUGGAGAGGUAAGUGGAAUUCCGAGUGUAGAGGUGAAAUUCGUAGAUAUUCGGAAGAACACCAGUGGCGAAGGCGACUUACUGGACACAUAUUGACGCUGAGGCGCGAAAGCGUGGGGAGCAAACAGG